rnacentral:rRNA from 1 species
UACGUAGGGGGCAAGCGUUGUCCGGAAUUAUUGGGCGUAAAGGGCUCGUAGGCGGCCAACUAAGUCGGACGUGAAAUCCCUCGGCUUAACCGGGGAACUGCGUCCGAUACUGGAUGGCUUGAGUUCGGGAGAGGGAUGCGGAAUUCCAGGUGUAGCGGUGAAAUGCGUAGAUAUCUGGAGGAACACCGGUGGCGAAGGCGGCAUCCUGGACCGACACUGACGCUGAGGAGCGAAAGCCAGGGGAGCAAACGGG